AUGUCUCUCUGUGUAUCUCUCUGUCUAUUUCUGUCUGUCUCUCUCUGUUUUUGUCUCCCUCUGUCUGCUUCUGUCUUUCUCUGUCUCUGUUUUUGUCUGUCUGUCUCUGUCUCUGUGUGUCUCUCUUGUCUCUGUGUCUUUCUGUUUGUCUAUCUCUGUCUCUUUGUGUCUCUCUGUCUCUGUGUCUUUCUGUCUGUUUGUGUCUCUAUCUCUGGCUGCCUGUUUUUGUCUCUGUCUGUCUGUCUCUAUCUUUGUCUCUGUCUCUCUCUCAGCGAAGGGAGAUUGGCUCGGGCCCCGGUCACAUGUGGCAGUGAGGGUGGGGGAGCUCGCGAAGUUGCAUUUGCUGCAGCCCAGGCUGGCAGCCGAGAGAAGAAUGAAGAAAGGAAGGAGGGACUGGACGGAGGGGCCGCGGCUGGAGCAGGGUUCUUCACAGACCUCACUGUCUAUGAGGUUCUAGGUAUGAAUUUCUUUUUUUCUAUGGCCCCUCUCAGUUCUGAUACUCUCUGUUUUAAGGUCCCUCCCAGCUCUGACAUUCCCUGUUCUAAGGUUCUUCCCAGCUCUGACAUUCUCUGUGCUAAGAUCCCUCCCAGCUCUGACAUUCUCUGUUCUAAUGUCUCUCUCAGCUCUGACAUUCUCUGUUCUAAGGUCCCCCCUAGCUCUGACACUUCAUGUUCUAAGGGCUCUCCCAGCUCUGGCAUUCCCUGUUCUAAGGGUCCUCCCAGUUCUGAAUUUCUCUGUUCUAAGGCUGCUCUCUUGGCUCAGACACUCUAUUCUAUGAUGUUCUGUGAAAGGGACCUUAGAGCUGACCUAGCUGCCAUUCAUCUAGCCCUUCCUUUAAGCACCUCCCCUGCAUUAUUUCAUCUCAUCCUCACAUCAGCAGGGAAAGCUGGUAUUGCUGGUAUGGUGCCCAUUUUAAAGGAAAUAGUCCCAGAGAGGCUGCAGGAAGUGCCUGUGGGUCACACAUUUGGAACAGAGUGGGUGCCCAGGCCUCUCCUCUCCUGUCUUUAAGCCUGGCAAGCUUUCUGCUAAAGCUCUGGUUUUGCAGUGUCUGAGUGGUCCUGUGUUCCUGUCAUCCCCUGUUCCAUUUCUCUGUUUAUCUGUUUUUCUGAGUAUCUCUCUUGUUCUGGAAGCCUGUGUCUCUGUUUAUCUCUCAGUGUUUUUCUCUCUCUCUCUCACUGUGUAUGUCUCUGGAGGAAGUCUCCUUCGCUCCGGUUCCCCCCUUCUGCUUCCCUCAGUUCCGCCCAGCACGGCAUGUCCAGGUCCUAGUCCUGGCCCGGCCCAUUCGGCCUCCUUGGGGCAGCCCCAGCCUUGGCUAGCCCAGCCCGGCGGCAGCGGUUGCAAGUUGCUAGGAGACAAAUAUUUAGCCACAGCCACCGCAGCGGCUGCGAACUGGGUCUCUGGGCCACGGCAGCAGGAGGGAAGGAGGAGGGGCCCGGGAACAGCCUGGGAACAGCUUAGAGCCAGAACUGGAGGGAGGCACACUGACACACAGACGGAGCUGAGUUCACCCGCAGAGACAGUCCCGAGACACCCAGAGACACCAAGGGCUAGAAGAGAUGAGAGAGAGAGACAAAGAUAAACAUAGAGACAGAAGCUGGGAGCUGGAGAAAGACAGCCAGAGAGACAAAGUCAGAGAGGAGAGAUGGACACAGUGGGCUAGAGUCAGACACCCACGGGGGCUAUCCGCACCUAAAGAGACGCGGAGAGACUUAAAAGCAGAACAACAUUAGAGAUGCGGUUGGCGUGGCCUGGACGACAUCGGAGAAAAUGAGGGUAGGGGAUUGAGGAGGAAGAGUUUUGGAAAUAACUGAGGGGGAUAAAACGGAGGGGCUGGAGAGAAUGUGAGGGGGCUCCUGGGGUAAAGGACGGAGGUGGGGUCAGCCCUGCUCCAUUUCCGGUCUCUUGGUCCCUUCCCUAUCGGUCCCCCUAUUGUAACUACUGGGACAGAGGCCAUCCGGCAGUGGCAAGGUUAUGUAACCAGGUGAGGCGGGGCCGGGACCGAGCUCUU
rnacentral:lncRNA from 1 species